rnacentral:rRNA from 1 species
CGGAGAAGGAGCCUGAGACACGGCUACCACAUCCUACGAAAGCAGCAGGCGCGCAAAUUACCCAAUCCUGGAACGUGCAAGGAGUGAAUAUAAAAUAGACUACCGAGCUCUUUCGAGUUCUGCUAGUUGAAAUGACCACAAUCUAAAUCCCUUAACGAGGAUCCAUAGCAGGCCACGUCUGGUGCCAGCAUCCGCGGUAAUUCCAGCUCCAAUAUCGUAUAUUUAAGUUGUUGCACUUAAUAAGCUCGCAUCUGGACUUUGUGUUGGCUCGGCCGCUCCGCCUUCAGGAGAGCGCCGAGUUUACUCGUCCCUUCUGUCCGAGAUGCGCUCCUGGCCUUAAUUGACCGCCUCGUGCCUCCAGAGCUGCUACUUUGAAGAAAUUAGAGUGCUCAAAGCAAGCCUACGCUCUGUAUACAUUACUGUGGGAUAACAUCAUAGGAUUUCGGUCCUAUUACGCUGGCCUUCGCUAUCGGAGUAAUGAGUAGCAGGGACAGUCAGCCGCAUUCGUAUUUCAUAGACAGAGGUGAAAUUCUUGCAUGUUAUGANAGACGAACAACUGCGAAAGCAUUUGCCAUGGAUGUUUUCAUUAAUCAAGAACGAAAGCUGGGGGCUCGAAGACGAUCAGAUACCGUCCUAGACUCAACCAUACACGAUGCCGACCAGCGAACAGCGGAUGUUGCUUUUAGGACUCCGC